ACCGCCCCGGACCAUGGCCGGGCCGCCCCGGACCAUGGCCGGGCCGCCCCGGACCAAGGCCAGACCACCCCGGACCAGGGCCAGACCGCCCCGGACCAAGGCCAGACCGGCAAUGAACCUGAACCCCAACACCAGGGAGAAGGCUCAGGCCCUUUGGUGGCCUGGCUGCCUCCGACCGCAGACGGGCCCCCCAGGAAGGACCUGGCCCAGGUCGUGGGGAACCUGAAGGUCCGGGUGAAGGGGGUCAGGAAGCUGAGGGCGAAAACAGCAACCAUGGACCCAGGCCAGACCGCCCAGGACCCAAACCAGCUCCCCAAUGUGCCUGACAGCCCCCCCACAAAGGCCCUGGCCCAGGUCAUGGGGAACCUGAGGCUCCGGGUGAAGGGCUUCAAAAAGCUGAGGGUUCAACCAGCGACCACCUCCCGGCUUGAUGAGGAGAAGCCUUUGGGCCGCCCUUCAGGCCGGAGCCCCUUCCCUGGCCAGACCGCCCCGGACCAAGGCCAGACCGCCCCGGACCGAGGCCAGACCGCCCCGGACCGAGGCCAGACCGCCCCGGACCGAGGCCAGACCGCCCCGGACCGAGGCCAGACCGCCCCGGACCAAGGCCAGACCGCCCCGGACCAAGGCCAGACCGCCCCGGACCAAGGCCAGACCGCCCCGGACCCAAGCCAGAUCCCCGAGGAACCUGGUGAGUUCGCUGCAUUGUUGUUUUUACCUGCUUGUGUGUGUGUUUACCUGUGUGUGUCUACCUGCUUUUGUGUGUGUGUGUGUGUGUGUGUGUGUGUGUGUGUGUGUGUGUGUGUGUGUGUGUGUGUGUGUGUGUGUGUGUGUGUGUGUGC